AUUGAACGCUGGCGGCAGGCCUAACACAUGCAAGUCGAGCGAGCGGCGGACGGGUGAGUAAUGUCUGGGAAACUGCCUGAUGUAGGGGGAUAACUACUGGAAACGGUAGCUAAUAUAGCCUACCAUCAGAGGUGCCCAGAUGGGAUUCGCGAGUAGGUGGGGUUACGGCGCACCUCGGCGACGAUCCAUAGCUGGGCUGAGAGGAUGACCAGCCACACUGGAACUGAGACACGGUCCAGACUCCUACGGGAGGCAGCAGUGGGGAAUAUUGCACAAUGGGCGCAAGCCUGAUGCAGCCAUGCCGCGUGUGUGAAGAAGGCCUUCGGGUUGUAAAGCACUUUCAGCGGGGAGGCGUUACCCGCAGAAGAAGCACCGGCUAACUCCGUGCCAGCAGCCGCGGUAAUUC
rnacentral:rRNA from 1 species